rnacentral:rRNA from 1 species
UACGUAGGGUGCAAGCGUUAAUCGGAAUUACUGGGCGUAAAGCGCGCGUAGGCGGCUCUUCAAGUCAGGCGUGAAAGCCCCGGGCUUAACUCGGGAACUGCGCUUGAUACUGUCGAGCUAGAGUGUGGAAGGGGCGAUUGGAAUUCCGUGUGUAGCGGUGAAAUGCGUAGAUAUACGGAGGAACACCAGAGGCGAAGGCGGAUCGCUGGGCCAACACUGACGCUGAUGUGCGAAAGCUAGGGGAGCAAACGGG